rnacentral:lncRNA from 1 species
CCCGCCUCCCUCCUUAUUCAUGAAGAAGAAAAAAGAACGUGAUGGUUCUGCUAUUGCUUUAUCUGGCAGUCUAUUAUUCAUCCAUAUUGGCUCCCUGUCCAAAGGUACAUCAAUGAUUCUCUCUAUAUUACUUAGUUUUGUAUCUUUAUUCAUAUUAUUACUAGUGUAACUGAUUCCUUAAAUCAAAUAUCAGUUUGUAGAUGUGGGAUGAAGUUUGAUCCAGGCCUGCGUUUAUUCAUUCUAGUUAUUAGAGAUCUAGUUCUAUGGAAUUUUUGGUUCAUGUGUGCUUGAUCUCAUCCGACUGUGAUUUCUCCGUUUAAAUAUACUUGUAAGUUCUUAAAAGAUUAUCAAAGUGUUUAAGUUUAUAAUUUAAGGUAAUUGUAAACUUAAUUUUAAUAGUUUAUGCAACGACAUUUAAAUGAUGCCAAGAAUAUUUUUAAAAAUAUUUUAAAUGGUGUCUUGAUGAGCUUGUAAAAUUAAGACUCGUUUGAUUUUGAUUAAGACUCGUUUGAAUUUGAUACACUUGAAAUGAUUGUCUUGAUCAUAUUCAUACAGAUACAUGUGGGGAAAAAUAUCAUUUUCUGGUGCCGAUCAAAUUACAUUUUCGGUUAGAUUCGGCGGUCAUCAAUGGAAAUCAACUGAAGACACUAGAAUGGAUAUCAAGUUUUUUUAGCAUUUAAAGUUACACAUAAUCUGCUCUUGGACUUUUUGUAUUGUUAGUGGUCGUAUUAUCUUGAAAAUUGUAUUUCUAUAUUUAUUGGAUAUUCCAAAUGUAUUUUUUUACUAUUAGUUACUUUUAUUUGUGGAAAAAAGAAAACUUAAUCUAAAAAUUUAUUGAAAUUUGGUUAAUAUUUUACUGCACUUAAUUAUAUUUAAGUUUUUC